rnacentral:rRNA from 1 species
AUUGAACGCUGGCGGCAGGCCUAACACAUGCAAGUCGAACGGUAACAGGAAGCAGCUUGCUGCUUCGCUGACGAGUGGCGGACGGGUGAGUAAUGUCUGGGAAGCUGCCUGAUGGAGGGGGAUAACUACUGGAAACGGUUGCUAAUACCGCAUAAUGUCGCAAGACCAAAGAGGGGGACCUUCGGGCCUCUUGCCAUCGGAUGUGCCCAGAUGGGAUUAGCUUGUUGGUGGGGUAACGGCUCACCAAGGCGACGAUCCCUAGCUGGUCUGAGAGGAUGACCAGCCACACUGGAACUGAGACACGGUCCAGACUCCUACGGGAGGCAGCAGUGGGGAAUAUUGCACAAUGGGCGCAAGCCUGAUGCAGCCAUGCCGCGUGUAUGAAGAAGGCCUUCGGGUUGUAAAGUACUUUCAGCGGGGAGGAAGGGAGUAAAGUUAAUACCUUUGCUCAUUGACGUUACCCGCAGAAGAAGCACCGGCUAACUCCGUGCCAGCAGCCGCGGUAAUACGGAGGGUGCAAGCGUUAAUCGGAAUUACUGGGCGUAAAGCGCACGCAGGCGGUUUGUUAAGUCAGAUGUGAAAUCCCCGGGCUCAACCUGGGAACUGCAUCUGAUACUGGCAAGCUUGAGUCUCGUAGAGGGGGGUAGAAUUCCAGGUGUAGCGGUGAAAUGCGUAGAGAUCUGGAGGAAUACCGGUGGCGAAGGCGGCCCCCUGGACGAAGACUGACGCUCAGGUGCGAAAGCGU